CCGUAGCCCAAGAGAUCGGGAUAACACCUGGAAACAGAUGCUAAUACCGGAUAACAACAGAUGAUGCCUAUCAACUGUUUAAAAGAUGGUUCUGCUAUCACUCUUGGAUGGACCUGCGGUGCAUUAGCUAGUCGGUAGGGUAACGGCCUACCAAGGCGAUGAUGCAUAGCCGAGUUGAGAGACUGAUCGGCCACAUUGGGACUGAGACACGGCCCAAACUCCUACGGGAGGCAGCAGCG
rnacentral:rRNA from 1 species